UCUACAGGACGAAAGGAUUUCCCGGCGGCGGUGCGCUGCUCCGGGAGCGGGGUGGGGCGGGGGUGGACCGCGUGAUAAGGGCCGCCUCACGACGCGCUCCCCGAUGCAAGUGAGUCACGAGCGCGAGAGAUGCGGGCCGGGCCCGGGCCCCAGCAACACCAACAACAACAUCGCCAACAAACAAGAGCAACAUACAAACAGAGAUGCGCUGGCCGCGCUGGCCGCGCCCCACCCCUCGCGGGCCUGCCUCGCGCGGCACGGGUAUCUGGUGUGGUUGUGAGCACAGCCUGGCCGGCCGCAGGGGCAGUAUAGUAGUCGUCCGGCCUACAGACCAGACUUAAAGCACGCAGAUUCCCCGUUGCAAACGGUCGGUUCGCGCGCGGUUCGUCUUGGCCGCGCCCCGUGUGUGUGUGUGUGUCCGUGUGUCCCCGCGACGUGCCCCAGGCCCCCGCCGCCACCGCCGCUCCUCGCCGUCGGCGUCGCACCGCCAUACCGCCGCCGCCACCGUCACCGCCCGGCCUGUCGUUGUGUUGUUGUGCUCCGCUCUCAGUGCGCCGCCGGGCCCCGCCCCGUCUCCACGCCGAGUGUGUCGUCGUCGUCGUCGUCGUGUCCCUGCGACCCGCAGCCCACCGGGCCGACUGUGCUCCCCUGCUUCUUUGGUCCUGCCGUCGUGCCGAGGAGCGGCAGCAGAAGCACUACGUUCGCUACGUGAUUUCGGCCUCCUCCUCGUGGACAGCAGCAGCAGCGCUGUGCCACCCGCCACCGUGUGUCCCCCGCUCAAGGAAGACUCGCGGCGAGCGAGCCCGCGGUCAGGGACAGGCAGAGGACCCAUACUCAUGAG